AACGAACGCUGGCGGCAUGCCUAACACAUGCAAGUCGAACGAGACCUUCGGGUCUAGUGGCGCACGGGUGCGUAACGCGUGGGAACCUGCCCUUAGGUUCGGAAUAACUCCCCGAAAGGGGUGCUAAUACCGGAUAAUGUCUUCGGACCAAAGAUUUAUCGCCUUUGGAUGGGCCCGCGUUGGAUUAGCUAGUUGGUAGGGUAAAAGCCUACCAAGGCGACCAUCCAUAGCUGGUCUGAGAGGAUGAUCAGCCACACUGGGACUGAGACACGGCCCAGACUCCUCCGGGAGGCAGCAGUGGGGAAUAUUGGACAAUGGGCGAAAGCCUGAUCCAGCAAUGCCGCGUGAGUGAUGAAGGCCUUAGGGUUGUAAAGCUCUUUUACCCGGGAUGAUAAUGACAGUACCGGGAGAAUAAGCUCCGGCUAACUCCGUG
rnacentral:rRNA from 1 species